rnacentral:lncRNA from 1 species
UUUUAAUAGAAUAUGUCUUUAUUUCAGUAUCUUAAAUAGUGAAGAUGGAGAAAUAGUCAAUAAUGAAGAGCAUGAAUAUGCAUCCAAAAAAAGGAAAAAGGACCAUUUUAGAAAUGACACAAAUACUCAAAGUUUUUAUCAUGAAAAAUGGAUCUAUGUCCAUAAAGAAAGCACAAAAGAAAGGCAUGGCUAUUGCACCUUGGGAGAAGCCUUUAAUCGGUUAGACUUCUCAAGUGCAAUUCAAGAUAUCCG